GCCGGAGUGGUGGAACUGGUAGACGCGCGGGACUCAAAAUCCCGUAUCCGCAAGGGUGUGUGGGUUCGAUUCCCACCUCCGGCACCA
rnacentral:tRNA from 3 species